CCUACGGGAGGCAGCAGUGGGGAAUAUUGGGCAAUGGGCGCAAGCCUGACCCAGCAACGCCGCGUGAAGGAAGAAGGCUUUCGGGUUGUAAACUUCUUUUCUGAGGGACGAAGAAAGUGACGGUACCUCAGGAAUAAGCCACGGCUAACUACGUGCCAGCAGCCGCGGUAAUACGUAGGUGGCAGGCGUUAUCCGGAUUUAUUGGGUGUAAAGGGCGUGUAGGCGGGAAAGCAAGUCAGAUGUGAAAUCUCAGGGCUCAACCCUGAGCCUGCAUUUGAAACUGUUUUUAUUGAGUGCUGGAGAGGCAGACGGAAUUCCUAGUGUAGCGGUGAAAUGCGUAGAUAUUAGGAGGAACACCAGUGGCGAAGGCGGUCUGCUGGACAGCAACUGACGCUGAGGCGCGAAAGCGUGGGGAGCAAACAGGAUUAGAUACCCUUGUAGUC
rnacentral:rRNA from 1 species